rnacentral:rRNA from 1 species
GAUGAACGCUGGCGGCGUGCUUAACACAUGCAAGUCGAACGAAGCAUUUAGAACAGAUUAUUUCGGUAUGAAGUUCUUUAUGACUGAGUGGCGGACGGGUGAGUAACGCGUGGGUAACCUGCCUUGUACUGGGGGAUAGCAGCUGGAAAUGGCUGGUAAUACCGCAUAAGCGCACGGUGCUGCAUGGCACAGUGUGAAAAACUCCGGUGGUAUAAGAUGGACCCGCGUCUGAUUGGCUAGUUGGUGAGAUAACAGCCCACCAAGGCGACGAUCAGUAGCCGACCUGAGAGGGUGACCGGCCACAUUGGGACUGAGACACGGCCCAGACUCCUACGGGAGGCAGCAGUGGGGAAUAUUACACAAUGGAGGAAACUCUGAUGCAGCGACGCCGCGUGAGUGAAGAAGUAAUUCGUUAUGUAAAGCUCUAUCAGCAGGGAAGAUAGUGACGGUACCUGACUAAGAAGCUCCGGCUAAAUACGUGCCAGCCGCCGCAGUAA